rnacentral:rRNA from 1 species
GGAUGCGAUCAUACCAGCACUAAAGCACCGGAUCCCAUCAGAACUCUGAAGUUAAGCGUGCUCGAGUGAGCGUAGCACUAGGAUGGGUGACCUCCUGGGAAGUCCUCUUGUUGCANNNN